rnacentral:rRNA from 1 species
CGGAACGGGUGAGUAACGCGUGAGGAACCUGCCUCAAAGAGGGGGACAACAGUUGGAAACGACUGCUAAUACCGCAUAAGCCCACGGCUCGGCAUCGAGCAGAGGGAAAAGGAGCAAUCCGCUUUGAGAUGGCCUCGCGUCCGAUUAGCUAGUUGGUGAGGUAACGGCCCACCAAGGCGACGAUCGGUAGCCGGACUGAGAGGAUGAACGGCCACACUGGAACUGAGACACGGUCCAA